GAGGUUUGCUUCGUCACGUGACACACAAGCAGCGUUUUGUGAGCGCAUUUCCAAGCUUUUGUACAUAACAUUUUGUACAUACGGUAUUCAAGUGAUGAGUUCGAGUAAUACACAGAGGGCGGGGAAAAGCAGCCGGGAUCGAGGGAACAAGUCACCGUCGGCGGCGACGACACAGUCCCCCAAGGCGGUCACUGCCACAGAUGGGCAUGCCAAGCCGCCCGACGGCUUCAUUCCCAAAGUCCAGCCAACUCCCGAACAGAUCCGGCUGGCACAGAUUAUCAAUGACCCAACGAAGCAGGACGAUCCGGACAUCAAGAACAAAGUCCAACAGGUGAUGGAGGUGACAGGCCAGUCCAGUGAUGCAGUCGUGAUAGCACUGCAUGACUGCGACAAUGACCCCACGCGAGCCAUCACCAUGCUCAUUGAAGGCAACAAGCAGGAGGGCGAGUGGGAGACUCGGGGCAAGAAGAAGAAGCCCGUGAAGGAGGGCAACCAGCAGCAGCAGCAACAACAGCAGCAGAAAGGGGACCAAGGUGGCCCCGCGAGCAGUAACAAGGAAAACCGUGGGGGGCCUCGCGGGGAGGGCGGCCCCCCACGCAACAUGCCCCGGGGGUCUAGCGGAGGAGGCAGAGGAGGAGGUCGCGGAGGCAGCUGGAAGAACAAGGAAAUCGAGAAGAACGAGCGAAACCUAGAAGACGGGCGCACUGGCGAGCGGACUGGCGACAUGCGACCACGAGGAGGCAGCAGACGUGGUGGCCGGGGCGGCAGAGGAGGUGGUGUUGGUGGGGGACGUGGUAGCCGCACGUUCCAGAACCGAGGGCUGGGCGGCCAUGACGGCUUCCCUCAGUCCAUGGACACGUGGACCAACAGCACGUCUGCCGGAGGACAGCGAGCAUCCAGAGGAAGCCAGCAGCAACAGCAGCAGCAGGACACCAUGGCAGUCGGCAACUGGAAUGACCUGGCGGUCAGUGAAGACUGGAGUGAAGAGGACUGGACUGGCCAGCUGGAAACUAAGGUGUUCACUGCAAGUGGAGCGGCUGCGAUACCUCCGCCAGCGCCCGACACGGCGAGCAUCAUACAGUUGUUGAAGGAGUCUCCACAUGAGUCGAUCAGUGUGGCACAGUACAACCAGCAAGCCACGGAAUCCAUCAAGGCGGCUGUUGGGGUUGGCUCGGCAGCCAAUUCGGUGAGCAACAGCAGCUACCCCGUGACUCAGGUGGUGUCCUCUGCGGACUCUUCUUCCGUCACAACCUCCAAGCCUGUUCCUGCACCCCAGCGGACAAAGACACCGAGGGUGCGUGUGCCACCACCUUCGAAGAUACCGGAGUCUGCAGUGGAAAUGCCAGAGGACAGUGCUGUGUCAUCGCUAGAAGUCCAGUUCGGUGGCCUCGAGUUUGGCACGGACACAUUUGACUUCGGGGCUGCGGAUGGCUUGGCAGCGGUGUCCACUGCACAACCCACGAUGCCGCCAGGGCUGGUUCAAACGGAGCAGGCGUCAGUCACUGCAUCCGUUCCAUCAUCCACACCUUACAUGGAUGGACAUCACUCGGUCAGUAAGGUCCCAUCAUCGACAGUCAUCUCCAGCAGUCCUGUGGGUCCAAUGGGUCCUUCCUCAGUUGCCAGCAAGGACGUCUCUCCCACGACGGCUGGCGCAGUGCCACAGGCACAGUCGCAGCAACCAUCACAGCAACAGUCUCAGCAGCAAUCACUACCUUCACAACCAUCGGCAGCAGCACCUCCCAGUGCCUCCCUGCCUCGACCUCCUGGCAUCCCUGCACCCAAGGAACCUCCUCAGGGCAUGGGGAACAGUGUGCCCCCUACAGCGAAUGCAUUGGGUGGGGCUCCCGCAUCCUCUGCAACCUCUGCAGCGGUCGCAGCAUCUGCAGCCUCCUCGGCCAGUCACAAGCCUGGCUCUGUGAUGGCCCCUGAGCAUCUGCUGCUGCAGUCGCAAUCCCACUCUGAGCGCAGCAAGCCCGUGUCAUCCUCAUCUGUGGCUGGCCCACAGUCCAAGAUGUACACCGGUGGAGCUGCCGCCCAGAGGAACAGCCAAGGGCUAGAAGGUGGGCUGUCGUCUGCGGGCAAAGUGGAGCAGCCAAUGUACUCGUCGGCAGGCGGUGGAGGCCAGCACUACAGUGGUGGGGCCUACCCAGGGGGUGGGGGCAAGGGCCUGGUGGGCUCCUACUUGGCCCACUCUCAGGGCUUCCCAUCGUCCACCACGGGGCAGCAGCAUUACUACACUGCUCAGCAGCCCACCAGUUCCACAACUGCUGCCUUUGGCCAGCAGCAGAGCAAUGGUUACCAGGGUCCGUACCAGAGCAAUGCCUAUUCCGGGCCGAGCCAGCCACAGCAGGCAAACUAUGGGGUCUCUUCCAAGCUCUCGGCAUCCGCAGGGUUGGGUCCUCACUCGGUGAAGGAUUCAGUGCUUGAUUCCACGUCUCAGCAAGGAACUGCCAGCCAGCACGUUUACGAGAACUCGCAUGUCCCCGCCACCGCAGCAGGGAUGCCAUCUGGGCCAGCGUCAACGCUAGCAACAACAGCGUCCUCGUUAGCGGGUGCCACGGCAACCACAUCUGUGCUCAAGAACUCUAUGUCAGCAACGGGCAAGACCAUGCCCACGAUGCCGCCUGGAGUGCCUACUGCCAUGCUUGGCCACCAGUUCCUUGUGGGAAACGCUGCCAUGCCGUACUAUGGCUUGCAGCAACAGCCUUUGUAUAGCUACGAAGACUUGCAGAUGCUACAGACUAGAAUGCCACACCUGGGCUACUAUGACAUGCAGUACCCUGUGCCUGCCACGAGCCUCGCCGGCCGAGACCUCACGUUGAACAACAUGGCUUUUGCAGAGGGUAGCAAGUUUGGCCGUGGCGAGAACAGCGACAGCAGUCCCGGCACAGUAGCUGGGGUGGGACCGCAAGGGGCUGCGGCAGGUGCUGCAGCUGCUGCCCAGGGUGGGGCCCAGGGGGGACAGCAGGGAGCACCCCCCACGGCAGGACAGCAGGCAGCUGCCAGCCAGCCGUUCUUGAGCACACUGCCCCCGGGAUACGGCUACUACUACCCAUCCAACCUCAUGCCCGGAUCCAUCCACCACUACGGACCGCCGCCCAUGUUCCCUGCGGGUAUGAUGGCCUAAGUCAGACACCAGACUAUGCCAAAAACACCUACGGCGCAGGUUCUCAGGGACAGGCUAAGGGCAUCUCGGGUUCAUUCUUUUGAGAAGCCAGGCUUUCUGGCAGGCUCGCAGUCUUCGGCAGUAGCGGCAUCCUCGACAGCAGCAGCAGCGGCAGGCCACCAACAGCAGCCCGGAGGCUCGUCUUAUCCGCAGUUUGCGGGACCUCGUGGCUCACCUCCGUCGUUGGCAAAGCAGCAGCAGCAACAGCAGCAGCAACCGGGUGGUCACGUGCGCCAGGGAUACCCGUACUGGGGCAACUGAAAUGUGUUGUGCUUCUGUGUCUCUCUCCUCUCUCUGCAAUAGUUUCUCCCUCCUCUUGGCCCAAGCAGUUUCUUUGCCUUGUUCACACCUAAAAGCCUGACGUAAAAACUCUCCUCUCCCGCUUUCUCUGUCAAGAGGGACGGCGCAGAAAAAGUUGUCUGUCCAAAUGCGCUCACAAGACAGUCCUCCCCCGCCCUUUUUCUGCUGCCGGCCCCCUCCCCCUUCGGACCGACUUGCUGUUUGUUGUUGCCCCAACUGUGCUUGCAGUGCUAUGCUGACGACGGGACAGUUUGUCUAAACGUUAGGCUUCCGGACAGCUGGCUGCUUGUGAGCGUUUCACAUGCUGCAGUGGCCCCUGCUGUAGUGAUGGUGAUGUUGCUUGCUGCCUUUUUUUUUUUUUUCUGCGCUUAAAGACCAACAUUUUUUUUUACGUCUUGUUUUCUUUGCUUGGCCACACUUUUAUUCCUGUACCUGCUUUUUUUUUUUUUUUUCUUAUUCUCUCUUUGUAGCAUGCAGUUGCUGUAUUGUAGCCCUACAGGCCUUCAUUUCUUUUUCUCUAGUUUGUCAUGAACUUCUAUGAGAGCAAAAGACUCAAUGCAUGUACUGGCCACUGCAGACUCGGGAUAUGUUUUUGCCAUCUGGGGAAGCACGAGCAAAUGUGUCCUAUCAGGCCUCAUGUGCGAUGAUGCAGUGAUUCUUGGGAUUUUUUUUCCCCUCUCUUUCAACAUAUGCUGCUGCACUGAUGGGUUGUUUCUGCAGAGCUUUUUACAUGGGGUUUUCCUUUCUCUGGCUUUUUUUUUUUUUUUCAUUUUCUUGUAUGCAUUGCACCUUUGCUCGUUGGACUUGUUUGAUGUACUUUUUUUUUUCUUUCAUUUUUUACAUCGAGAACGCCUGCCAGCCAUUGUAAAGAAUGUUUCAAAAACUUUUUUUUUUUUUUUUUUUCAAUGUGUGUCAGUGCACCAUAAACGCACCCUUAAUGUCGAGCAUUAGCACUGACAUUUCUUAGCAAAAUUAGAAAUCUGCAUUAGAAAUCUGCGAAAAGGUGUAGCAUUGACGAGGUGUACAUUUUCAGUGUAUCUUAGUCGAUCGAAUGUGGGUGGGUUUGGAUAAAAAGCCUAACCAGCUUUUUUCCUUUUUUUUCUUUUUCCUUGGCUGUCUGGAGCCAGAAUAUUUUUAUAGCUCCCCAAGCGGUUCUAUUCCCUUCUUGAAUGGUUCAUAGUGGCUUGUUUUUUGUUUCUUUUCCCCGGCAUCAGUGCCACGUCCAAACGGCACUGCUGCGCCGGUCUGAAGGCUGCCAAUUUCACAAAUGUGCCACUUCGAUUUUUUCAAUACGACUUCAAGCAAAGACUCAGUACAGCACAUCAAAAAAAAAAAAAUAAUAAAGGAACAAGCAGUACAAAGUGUACUGGAGACUUUGCAAAGUCCAGAUGGCACAUUUUAGAGACUGCAUCGCACAGAUCGGCGUAGCUUUGCCACCUUCUUUAGCCCAAGGGCUCUCCUUUGUUGUGAAACUACCUGCAAGGAAUGUAACCGUGAAGGGAGCUGAAAGUCGAGAGCAGUCUUUGGCUUUUUCGUUAUUAUUUCUCUUUAGCCUUAGCUGAACUUAUCUCAUUGUCCGCACUUAAUUUUUAUUUCUUUUUUGCUUCUCCCUCAUUUCGUUGUGUGCAUGUACUUCAGAGUGAACCCUUUUGUACAUAUUUGCCAGGAAGCGACAUUGUGAGCACUUUGCCGCAUUCAUAUUGUACGCCAUUUUUUUUUACGGCUUUUUUUUUCUCUCCCUCGCAUUGUGAUGUGUGUGUCUGUGUGCUUGGUUGUGUGCAUGCUUCUUUCAUAGCUUUUUUUUUUUCUUUCAAUCUCAAAACAAGAAAACCCGUUGUCAACACGAUUAGAAUUGUCUGGUGCUGGCAGGCAGGUCAUCUUGUUGUGAAAGGGGGGAAAAGCAUUGCCUCCAUCUAUUUCUUUUUCUCAGAAGUGAAAGCACGCUGCAUAUAAAACUAAACUUGUAGAGUGCGGUCGUUGCGUUUACGAACUUAUUGUCUUUUCGCAAUUUCGUUCUUGGGUGUCUGUUCUAAUGUUCUAAGCAGCGCUUCGAUUGUGGUCAAUGAGAGAACGGCAGCAGCUCGCAGUAGUAUUUUUUUCUACUGAACCAUUUUGCAAACGUUGUUGUCGUCCUCCUACUACUGUAAUAUUUUCGUGCUCCCCCCCACCCCUCCAUUUUUGUUUGUGAAGUUGACACACAUAAAAUAUAUAUAUAUAAUGUAUAUGUAUACAUAUUCGUAGGGAAAGUGAAAAAAACGGAGCAAGCAAGGAAGUCCCUUUGUAAAGUUGUUUUACCCCCCACACAAAGCGGAGAAAAAUGUGUGGCAAUGCUGCGUGAAAUCAGGACGAGAAAAAAGAAAAUAAAUGUUUGUAAAUAUAUGAAUAUACAUUUUUGUUUGUUUUCUUUUUGACUGUGUUUAUCAGCCUCCUUUCAGUGCAGAAUGCUCAUGGUCUGAUACAAGCAUGCAAAUGGGAAGAGUUGGUAGUUUCUGUUUGUGUGGUGAGAAGGUGUGAUAUAUAUAAAUAUAUAUAGUUUGUGACGAGAGGCUCCAGAAAAAAUAAAAUACUUGUCAUUAA
rnacentral:misc_RNA from 1 species